CACUAUACACACACUACACACACACAUUACACACACACUAUAUACACUAUACACACACUACACACACACAUUACACACACACAUUACACACACACUACACACACACUAUACACACACUACACACACACACAUUACACACACACUAUCUCACCUCUCUGUCCUGUCAGUAUUAUGGUGUAGGCAGACAGACACCUCUCUGUCCUGUCUGUAUUUCUGGUGUAGGCAGACAGACACCUCUCUGUCCUGUCUGUAUUUCUGGUGUAGGCAGACAGACACCUCUCUGUCCUGUCUGAGGGGGUGUGUCUAAUUCAUCUGAGGGUGAGUCUCAAAUGGCACACUGUUCAUUAUGUAGUGUACUGGCCUCAAUUUCAGUCUAGUGUACUAUAGGGCUCUAGUCCAGUCUAGUGUACUAUAGGGCUCUAGUCCAGUCUAGUAUACUAUAGGGCUCUAGUCCAGUCUAGUGUACUAUAGGGCUCUAGUCCAGUCUAGUGUACUAUAGGGCUCUAGUCCAGUCUAGUAUACUAUAGGGCUCUAGUCCAGUCUAGUGUACUAUAGGGCUCUAGUCCAGUCUAGUGUACUAUAGGGCUCUAGUCCAGUCUAGUGUACUAUAGGGCUCUAGUCCAGUCUAGUGUACUAUAGGGCUCUAGUCCAGUCUAGUGUACUAUAGGGCUCUAGUCCAGUCUAGUGUACUAUAGGGCUCUAGACCAGUCUAGUGUACUAUAGGGCUCUAGUCCAGUCUACUAUACUAUAUAGGGCUCUAGACCAGUCUAGUGUACUAUAGGGCUCUAGACCAGUCUAGUGUACUAUAGGGCUCUAGACCAGUCUAGUGUACUAUAUAGGGCACUAGUCCAGUCUAGUAUACUAUAGGGCUCUAGUCCAGUCUAGUAUACUAUAUAGGGCACUAGUCCAGUCUAGUAUACUAUAGGGCUCUAGUCCAGUCUAGUGUACUAUAGGGCUCUAGUCCAGUCUAGUGUACUAUAGGGCUCUAGUCCAGUCUAGUGUACUAUAGGGCUCUAGUCCAGUCUAGUGUACUAUAGGGCUCUAGUCCAGUCUAGUGUACUAUAGGGCUCUAGUCCAGUCUAGUGUACUAUAGGGCUCUAGUCCAGUCUAGUGUACUAUAGGGCUCUAGACCAGUCUAGUGUACUAUAGGGCUCUAGUCCAGUCUACUAUACUAUAUAGGGCUCUAGACCAGUCUAGUGUACUAUAGGGCUCUAGACCAGUCUAGUGUACUAUAUAGGGCACUAGUCCAGUCUAGUAUACUAUAGGGCUCUAGUCCAGUCUAGUAUACUAUAUAGGGCACUAGUCCAGUCUAGUAUACUAUAGGGCUCUAGUCCAGUCUAGUGUACUAUAGGGCUCUAGACCAGUCUAGUGUACUAUAGGGCUCUAGUCCAGUCUAGUGUACUAUAUAGGGCUCUAGUCCCGUCUAGUGUACUAUAGGGCUCUAGUCCAGUCUAGUGUACUAUAGGGCUCUAGUCCAGUCUAGUGUACUAUAUAGGGCUCUAGACCAGUCUAGUGUACUAUAUAGGGCUCUAGUCCAGUCUAGUAUACUAUAGGGCUCUAGUCCAGUCUAGUGUACUAUAGGGCUCUAGUCCAGUCUAGUGUACUAUAUAGGGCUCUAGUCCAGUCUAGUGUACUAUAGGGCUCUAGACCAGUCUAGUGUACUAUAUAGGGCUCAAGUCCAGUCUAGUGUACUAUAGGGCUCUAGUCCAGUCUAGUGUACUAUAGGGCUCUAGUCCAGUCUAGUAUACUAUAGGGCUCUAGACCAGUCUAGUAUACUAUAGGGCUCUAGACCAGUCUAGUAUACUAUAGGGCUCUAGACCAGUCUAGUGUACUAUAGGGCUCUAGACCAGUCUAGUGUACUAUAGGUCUCUAGUCCAGUCUAGUGUACUAUAGGGCUCUAGACCAGUCUAGUAUACUAUAGGGCUCUAGACCAGUCUAGUGUACUAUAUAGGGCUCUAGACCAGUCUAGUGUACUAUAUAGGGCUCUAGACCAGUCUAGUGUACUAUAGGGCUCUAGUCCAGUCUAGUAUACUAUAUAGGGCUCUAGUCCAGUCUAGUGUACUAUAUAGGGCUCUAGACCAGUCUAGUGUACUAUAGGGCUCUAGACCAGUCUAGUGUACUAUAUGGCUCUAGACCAGUCUAGUGUACUAUAGGGCUCUAGACCAGUCUAGUAUACUAUAGGGCUCUAGACCAGUCUAGUGUACUAUAUAGGGCUCUAGACCAGUCUAGUGUACUAUAGGGCUCUAGUCCAGUCUAGUAUACUAUAUAGGGCUCUAGACCAGUCUAGUGUACUAUAGGGCUCUAGACCAGUCUAGUGUACUAUAGGGCUCUAGACCAGUCUAGUGUACUAUAGGGCUCUAGACCAGUCUAGUGUACUAUAGGGCUCUAGUCCAGUCUAGUGUACUAUAUAGGGCUCUAGUCCAGUCUAGUAUACUAUAGGGCUCUAGACCAGUCUAGUGUACUAUAUAGGGCUCUAGUCCAGUCUAGUGUACUAUAUAGGGCUCUAGACCAGUCUAAUGUACUAUAGGGCUCUAGACCAGUCUAGUCUACUAUAUAGGGCUCUAGACCAGUCUAGUAUACUAUAGGGCUCUAGACCAGUCUAGUAUACUAUAGGGCUCUAGUCCAGUCUAGUAUACCAUAUGGCUCUAGUCCAGUCUAGUAUACUAUAUAGGGCUCUAGACCAGUCUAGUAUACUAUAGGGCUCUAGACCAGUCUAGUAUACUAUAGGGCUCUAGACCAGUCUAGUGUACUAUAUAGGGCUCUAGUCCAGUCUAGUGUACUAUAUAGGGCUCUAGUCCAGUCUAGUGUACUAUAUAGGGCUCUUGUCCAGUCAAGUAUACUAUAGGGCUCUAGACCAGUGUAGUGUACUAUAGGGCUCUAGUCCAGUCUAGUGUACUAUAUAGGGCUCUUGUCCAGUCAAGUAUACUAUAGGGCUCUAGACCAGUGUAGUGUACUAUAUAGGGCUCUAGUCCAGUCUAGUGUACUAUAUAGGGCUCUAGUCCAGUCUAGUGUACUAUAUAGGGCUCUUGUCCAGUCAAGUAUACUAUAGGGGUCUAGACCAGUGUAGUGUACUAUAGGGCUCUAGUCCAGUCUAGUGUACUAUAGGUCUCUAGACCAGUCUAGUGUACUAUAGGGCUCUAGACCAGUCUAGUGUACUAUAGGGCUCUAGUCCAGUCUAGUGUACUAUAUAGGGCUCUAGUCCAGUCUAGUAUACUAUAUCGGGCUCUAGUCCAGUCUUGUGUACUAUAUAGGGCUCUAGUCCAGUCUAGUAUACUAUAUAGGGCUCUAGACCAGUCUAGUGUACUAUAUAGGGCUCUAGUCCAGUCUAGUGUACUAUAUAGGGCUCUAGUCCAGUCUAGUAAUCUGCAUAGGGCUCUAGACCAGUCUAGUGUACUAUAGGGCUCUAGUCCAGUCUAGUGUACUAUAGGGCUCUAGUCCAGUCUAGUGUACUAUAGGGCUCUAGUCCAGUCUAGUGUACUAUAGGGCUCUAGACCAGUCUAGUGUACUAUAGGGCUCUAGACCAGUCUAGUGUACUAUAGGGCUCCAGUCCAGUCUAGUGUACUGCAUAGUGUACAGGGUGUUAUUUGGGAUUGCUCCUGAGCGUUAAUCUGUGUGAUUCUUUAGUAUUUCCUCUCCGUGACGACCUGGUUUCUCCUCCAUAUAUCUGAGCACCAAAUGGCUCCCUAUUGCCUAUAUAUAUAGUGCACUAUAUGACACCCUUGUCAAAAAGUAGUGCACUCUACAGGGAAUAGGGUACCAUUGGGACUCACCCUAUUGGAUCCUGCUACUUCUAUAGACACUGACCUAGGAUCAGUUUGGUUUCUGUCUCUGCCUGGUGGCCCGGGUUUAGAGCGGCGCAGGGUGAUCUGGUCCUUAGGGUUGGUAACGAGCUCCAGGUCGACUCCCACAAUUAUAUGACAGUUAUACAGUACUGUCCUCCAAUCAAACCGCAGUAUCUGCUAUCAAUCAACCCUCCGUGUCACAAAACGCGGGAUUGGGGAUUAAGUGGUUCCCGUGUGGCUCAGUUGGUAGAGCAUGGUGUUUGCAACGCCAGGAGUUGUGGGUUCGAUUCCCACGGGGGGGGAUCAGUACGGAGAAAAAAAAAAAAAUGUAUGAAAUGUAUGCAUUCACUACUGUAAGUCGCUCUGGAUGAGAGCGUCUGCUAAAAUGACAAAAAAAAUGUAAGUGUUGAAAGGUGAGAGGUCAAGCCAGGUGACCUGAUUUUGUUAUCGAUGGAGGAGCCUGGGUGUUAUUUUGCUGACGCCGCCCCUUUCUCUGAGAAUGACCUUUGAACCCUGACCUCCUUGUUUGUGACAUCACGGGUCACUCACUGCCUAGCCAGUGUCGUCGAGGGACUGUGUAGCAUUUCGCUACUUUGUACCAAUAAAGUAUUUUUUCUUCUUGUAUCAUAA